GAUGAACGCUGGCUACAGGCUUAACACAUGCAAGUCGAGGGGAAACGGCAUUUGGUGCUUGCACCGAAUGGACGUCGACCGGCGCACGGGUGAGUAACGCGUAUCCAACCUUCCCGUUACUGCGGGAUAACCUGCCGAAAGGCAGACUAAUACCGCAUGUUCUUCGAUGACGGCAUCAGAUUCGAAGCAAAGAUCCGUCGGUAACGGAGGGGGAUGCGUCUGAUUAGCUAGUUGGCGGGGCGACGGCCCACCAAGGCGACGAUCAGUAGGGGUUCUGAGAGGAAGGUCCCCCACAUUGGAACUGAGACACGGUCCAAACUCCUACGGGAGGCAGCAGUGAGGCAUAUUGGUCAAUGGGCGGAAGCCUGAACCAGCCAAGUAGCGUGCAGGAUGACGGCCCUACGGGUUGUAAACUGCUUUUAUGCGGGGAUAAAGUGAGGGACGCGUCCCUUUUGCAGGUACCGC
rnacentral:rRNA from 1 species